rnacentral:tRNA from 1 species
GGAUCUAGCUCAGUGGUAGAGCGCAUGCUUAGCAUGCACGAGAUCCUGGGUUCAAUUCCCAGUACAUCCA